UCGUUUUCCGGGCAGUGGGCCUCCGCGGUCUCUGGAACAAACACCCUGAAACUCGUUCCCAGGCAGCACCGCCUGGUGCUUCCAGGCGGCUUGAGAAGGACUAGGCUUCGGAGCCUCCAACCUGACAAAGAUGGACAAGGUGGAGACAGAAUUCCCAGGCAGCAGGAUGGUAAACAAGUGCAGAUCUGCGAAACAGCCUGUUGACCUUUGGUAACGUGUAUAGCAACAGCAGACAAGAUUCCUGGAGGAACAGCAACUAUUAUAGGUCUGUGAUGAUAAAAGCCACGGAACAAAGACAAUUGAGCAAAGAAGACAGAGGGAGCCUGGGAACUUCAUGACAUUCUUGAACAGUGGUGCCAGCCCUGGAUGACUGACCUCAGGACCUCUUGCUAAAUGACAUAUACUAACUCCUUUCUGUUUAACCAACUGGAGUAGAAUUUUCUUUUGCAGUGAAUCCAAUCCUAACUGAUUGGCUAAUAUGUAUUAGCACCUGUUGUGGGCCAGUGGAGUUCUAAGAAUGUUUAUGUACUAAUGUUUUUAAUCCUCACAAUGAAUGACUUUAUGAGAUAGACCAAAGGUUCUCAAAGUGUGGUCCCUGAGCCAGCAGCAUUAGCAUCUCCUGGAAACUUGUUAGAAAUGCAGAUUUGGGGGCCUGACCCCAGACCUCCUGAAGCAGAAUCUCUGGGAGUGGGGCACAGCAGUCUGUGUUUUAACAAACCCUCCAGGCGAUUCUGAUGUAUGCUGAAGUUUGACAACUUUAUCUCUGUAGAUAGGGUAUUGUUGCUGUCCCCAUUUUACAGAUAAGUAGACUGAGCUGAAUUUAAGUCACACAACCAGCAAGACUGACUCCUAAGUCUGUGUUUGUAGCCACUAUGUUACAUCACAUGUUAAGAACUCCUGCUCUAAAGUAGUAGUCUUCAAAAUUUGAAAGCAUACUCCCCUGAAAAAUUAUGUACCCCCCUGCACAUUUUUAGAUCAACAUCUAAAAAUUUCACAUAAGUUCAAACAGUUGUAAAGAAUCUGAUUUCCAGUACAUUGUAAAUUGUGACAUUUCAAAAUGUGUUCCAUCACUCUUCUAAAUGAGUCUAAAUACCACAGUGAUUAUUUUUUAAAUGGACUAUCUAUUUAAAAAAAUAAGUCUUCUCUAACAUUUGAAAUUUUACAUCCUCUCUUUUGUAUUUGAACUCGUAUUUUCAUUCCCCUACCCCACAAAAAUACAUU